UUCCGCCAUACGCUGAGGCAGCGGCCGCAGCCUUUCCUGGAGGUGGCCGCCUGCUGCCGGCCGCCGUUCGAGCUGGUGGGCGAAAGC
rnacentral:tRNA from 1 species